GGAGAGAUGGCUGAGUGGUCAAAAGCAGCGGACUGUAAAUCCGCCCGCAUACGCGUUCGUAGGUUCGAAUCCUACUCUCUCCACCA
rnacentral:tRNA from 1 species